rnacentral:rRNA from 1 species
GACGAACGCUGGCGGCGUGCCUAAUACAUGCAAGUCGAGCGGAGUCUUCGCGACGGUAGCCUUCGGGUGGAAGAUGCGGAGACUUAGCGGCGGACGGGUGAGUAACACGUGGGCAACCUGCCCGGAAGACCGGGAUAACAUCCGGAAACGGAUGCUAAUACCGGAUAAGCGGACCCUUCGCAUGAAGGGCUCGGGAAAGGCGGGGCAACCUGCCACUUCCGGAUGGGCCUGCGGCGCAUUAGCUGGUUGGCGGGGUAACGGCCCACCAAGGCGACGAUGCGUAGCCGACCUGAGAGGGUGAUCGGCCACACUGGGACUGAGACACGGCCCAGACUCCUACGGGAGGCAGCAGUAGGGAAUCUUCCGCAAUGGGCGAAAGCCUGACGGAGCAACGCCGCGUGAGUGAGGAAGGUCUUCGGAUCGUAAAGCUCUGUUGCCAGGGAAGAAGUCCCCUGAGAGUCACUGCUCGGGGGUUGACGGUACCUGAGAAGAAAGCCCCGGCUAACUACGUGCCAGCCGCCGCGGUAACAC